CAUGUCCCCAACGUCCUCACACCAUCCCCAUGUCCGCAAGGUCUUCACACCAUCACCCAUCUUGGGGUGCUCACACCAUCCUCAUGUUCUUGGAGUGCUCACAUCGUCCCCAUGAUCUUGGGGUGCUCACACCAUCCCCAUGUCCCCAAGGUCCUCACACCAUCACCAUUCUUGGGGUGCUCACACCAUCCCCAUGUCCCCAACGUCUUCACACCAUCACCCAUCUUGGGGUGCUCACACCAUCCCCAUGAUCUUGGGGUCUUCACACCAUUGCCCAUCUUGGGGUGCUCACAUUAUCCCCAUGUUCUUGGGGUGCUCACAUCACCCUCAUGUCCCCAGGAUGCUCACAGCAUCACCCAUCUUGGGGUGCUCAUACCAUCCCCAUGAUCUUGGGGUGCACACACCAUCCCCAUGUCCCCAAGGUCCUCAAACCAUCACCCAUCUUGGGGUGCUCACAUCACCCCCAUGUCCCCAAAUGCUCACACAAUCCCCCAUCUUGGGGUGCUCACACCAUCCCCAUGUCCUUGGGGUGCUCAAGCCAUCACCAUUCUUGGGGUGCUUAACCAUCCCCAUUGUCUUGGGGUGCUCACAUCACCCCCAUGUCCCCAAGGUGCUCACCCCAUCCUGCAUCUUGGGGUGCUCACACCAUCCCAUGUCCCCAAGGUCCUCACACCAUCACCCAUCUUGGGGUGCUCACACCAUCCCCAUGAUCUUGGGGUGCUCACAUCACCCCCAUGUCCCCGAAUGCUCACACCAUCCCCUAUCUUGGGGUGCUCACACCAUCCCCAUGUCCCCAAGGUCCUCACACCAUCCCCAUGAUCUUGGGGUGCUCACAUCACCCCCAUGUCCCCAGGAUGCUCACAGCAUCAUCCAUCUUGGGGUGCUCACACCAUCCCCAUGAUCUGGGGGUGCUCAUACCAUCACCAUUCUUGGGGUGCUCACACCAUUGCCCAUCUCGGGGUGCUCACACCAUCCCCAUGUUCUUGGGUUGCUCACACCAUCCCCAUGAUCUUGGGGUGCUCAUACCAUCACCAUUCUUGGGGUGCUCACAUUAUCCCCAUGUUCUUGGGGUGCUCACAUCACCCUCAUGUCCCCAGGAUGCUCACAGCAUCA
ensembl:lncRNA